rnacentral:tRNA from 1 species
GGGCCCGUGGGGUAGCUUGGUCAUCCUCGUGGCUUUGGGAGCCAUGAACUCCGGUUCAAAUCCGGGCGGGCCCA